AUACGUAGGGGGCGAGCGUUGUCCGGAAUUACUGGGCGUAAAGGGUGCGUAGGUGGCACUUUAAGUCUGAUGUGAAAGCCCACGGCUCAACCGUGGUGGGUCAUUGGAAACUGGGGGACUUGAGUGCAGAAGAGGAAAGUGGAAGUCCAAGUGUAGCGGUGAAAUGCGUAGAGAUUUGGAGGAACACCAGUGGCGAAGGCGACUUUCUGGUCUGUAACUGACGCGGAGGCGCGAAAGCGUGGGGAGCAAACAGGAUUAGAUACCCUGGUAGUCCACGCCGUAAACGAUGAGUGCUAAGUGUUAGGGGGUUUCCGCCCCUUAGUGCUGCAGCUAACGCAUUAAGCACUCCGCCUGGGGAGUACGGUCGCAAGACUGAAACUCAAAGGAAUUGGCGGGG
rnacentral:rRNA from 1 species